rnacentral:rRNA from 1 species
UACGUAAGGGGCAAGCGUUAUCCGGAAUUACUGGGUGUAAAGGGAGCGUAGACGGUAAUGUAAGUCUGGAGUGAAAGGCGGGGGCCCAACCCCCGGACUGCUCUGGAAACUAUGUUACUAGAGUGCAGGAGAGGUAAGCGGAAUUCCUAGUGUAGCGGUGAAAUGCGUAGAUAUUAGGAGGAACACCAGUGGCGAAGGCGGCUUACUGGACUGUAACUGACGUUGAGGCUCGAAAGCGUGGGGAGCAAACAGG